GUGUGUCUCGUCAAGUGAUUGUAACAAACAAGUAGAUUAAAAGUAAAUAAUAAUGAUAAUAAUGAUGAGGACAAUAAUAAUAAUAAUAAUAAUAAUAAUAAUAAUACACACAUAUAUAUACACGCAUAAGAAAGCGGGAAGCGAUAAAGAGAAUGAGAUAUGAAUAGUUUAAAGUGAAUGGGACAGUGAACAUAAUAUUUUGUUAACAUUUUAAUAAUUCAUCACUCUUUUUUCAAUGAAAAGGCUCAACUCAGUCAAUGAUUUUAUACUUUUUACAGCAACGCAUAUAAUCGAAAUUAUCAUUGCAAUCGGAAUACUAGUGAGUCUAGUUUUAAUAGCUGUGUGUAUCUGCUGCUGGUAAGUGGUCGAUUUAUUUUAAGUUUAUGAAUCUCUCAUAUAAAUAUCUCAUGUAAAAUUAAUGAAUCUCUCAUAUUAGCCGAAUGAACGGCUCCUUGAUAUUUUUGAUGUGGUAAUCAAAUGUAUCGAAGUGCAGUUCGUUUCCGUGAAGUUAAGAUUUUCCAUUUGCAAACUUGUAGUUCUGGGUUCGAUCUCGAGUUAUUUUGCUUGCGUUGUAAAUUUUUACACACUCUGAUGUUCACUUAUUCCCAUUUCUGCUGAUCAGCGACAAGCAUCGGCAAUCUACCUGACCGGUCUUAAAACAUGGACCGAAGAGUCCCAGUCAACUGCAAGUCGUUGCAGCCUUUCACUUCGUGAACGCUGGCGACACAGUGGAAGCUACCACGUGAUACAUCAUUGUAUUUGCAUUGCUUCUCCUAGGAACGGUUUGUUGCACGACGUUUCUAAGUAUCGUUACCUGGUCGAGUCCGCGAGUUCGCGUCUACCCCCAAGGACCGUACGCUCCCGCUCUAACUCAAGUGUAGCAGGCCUCCGAGGACCCGAAAGAUAGCGAUCCACGCUCGGUCAAGACGAAGCUAGAGAAAACUCUGGUGAAAGUUCGAAGUGCCUCUGACGUGAAAAUCGAUCGUUGGAAUAUGAUGUAGGAACAAAAAAAUGAAUCGAGCUGUUUUGUAGCUGGUUCUCUCUGAAGUUUCCCUCAACACAGCAGGCAAAAGCAGGAGAACGAUCUGUAACUCUGUCCGGUAAAGCGAGCAUCUGGCGGACCCGGUGACGUUAAGGGCCUCGAUUUUCAGUCGAACGGACGAAAAGGGCUGCUUCUCUUGCGCGAAGGUGGUCGUAAAUUAUUGCAGCCAUUGUACUGCGUUACGAAUGCACGGUGCCAAGUGGGCCACUUUUGGUAAGCAGAACUGGUGCUGUGGGAUGAACCGAACGUCCAGCUAAGGUGUCUUACACCUCGCCCUCUCGAUCUCCGAAAGGAUGUCGGUCGAUAUAGACGGCAGGAUGGUGGCCAUGGUUGUCAGAAUCCGCUCAAGAAUGUGUAACA
rnacentral:ncRNA from 1 species